rnacentral:tRNA from 1 species
GGGGAGGUCGCAUAGAGGCCUAGUGCGGUGGUUUGCUAAACCGCUAUCGGGGUAACCUGAUCGAGGGUUCGAAUCCCUCCCUCCCCGCCA